rnacentral:lncRNA from 1 species
AUAAAACUAGUUCAAUUGGUAAUUAAUAACUAAUAAUAAAAUUAUUAAAUUUGAUAAAAUUUUCUUACGUAACUAAUUAUUAAAACUCAGAUAAAAAAAAGAUAAAAAUGUGCAGAACUUACUUGAAAUAUAGACCAUUUUGAAUCAGCUUCCGACGUUCCAAAUUUUGAUUUUAAAUAUAACCUAAGUACUUAUUUUAGUGAAACUUUAGUUACCAGAAUUAUAUGAAGUAUAUGUAAAGAUAAACAACGCACUCAAAUUUUAAAACGAAAAAUUGUUGACUGAUUCAAAUUAAUCAAACAAAUUCAAAGGUCGGAUAGUAAAAUUAAAAUUUUGUAUAGUUGGGUAGCAGAAUCAAAAUAGUUCAAAUAAAUUUU